rnacentral:rRNA from 1 species
UACAGAGGGGGCAAGCGUUGUCCGGAAUUACUGGGCGUACAGCGCGCGCAGGCGGUUACUGACGUGCCGUGUGACAAGCGGGGGCUCAACCCCCGAGGGCCACGGUAAACGGGGCGACUGGAGGUAGGGAGAGGGAUGUGGAAUGCCCGGUGGAGCGGUGAAAUGCGCAGAUAUCAGGAGGAACACCGAUGGCGAAGGCAGGUCUCUGGGCCAUAACUGACGCUGAGAAGCGAAAGCAUGGGGAGCGAACAGG